GUCUUGUAGAGCAAUGGAUAGCGCGCGUUGGACUUCUAUUUCAAUGGUCGUAGGGUUUAAAUCCCACCUGAGAUG